GAUGAAGAACGCAGCGAAAUGCGAUAAGUAAUGUGAAUUGCAGAAUUCAGUGAAUCAUCGAAUCUUUGAACGCACAUUGCGCCCGCCAGUAUUCUGGCGGGCAUGCCUGUUCGAGCGUCAUUACAACCCUCAGGCCCCCGGGCCUGGCGUUGGGGAUCGGCGGAGCCCCCCGUGGGCACACGCCGUCCCCCAAAUGCAGUGGCGGCCCCGCCGCAGCUUCCAUCGCGUAGUAGCUAACACCUCGCGACUGGAGAGCGGCGCGGCCACGCCGUAAAACACCCAACUCUUCUGAAGUUGACCUCGAAUCAGGUAGGAAUACCCGCUGAACUUAAGCAUAUCAAUAAGCGGAGGA
rnacentral:misc_RNA from 1 species